rnacentral:lncRNA from 1 species
UCUCCUGACCUGGUGAUCUGCCCACCUCGGCCUCCCAAAGUGCUGGGUUACAGGCAUGAGGCACCACACCCGGCCUAUCAUAAUCAAACUUCUAAAGAUCUACGAUAAAGAUAAAAUCUUGAAAGCAACAACAAAAAACAUACAAAGGAACAAUACAAAUAAUGGCUGAGCUCUCAUUAGAAACAAUGAAGACCAGAAGACAAUGGAACUUAAAAGUGCUGGGGGGAACUAUACCUGAAAUUCUAUACCUAAGAAUAGAUGUGUCAGGACGGCCCCGGUAGGCACCAGUGGCCUUUGGAACAUGUCUAAACUUGCUGGCUCCUUGCUUCUAGCACUCCCCUUAUCUCAAGUAGCCAUAUGUUUCAAAGAAAAUGCUACACCAUCAUAGCUGUAGCUCAUUUGCUUGAUAUACCACUUCCUUUCAACCCCCACAUCCUCACCACCUGUUUCUUUGUUUGAUCACCAAUAAAUAGUGUGGGCUUCCAGAGCUUGGGGCCUUUGCAACCUCCAUACUAGCGUUGGCCCCCUGGUCCCACUUUCUUUCAUCUUUUCUCAUUCCUUUGACUCCGCCGGACUUUGUAGCCCCCAUGGCCUGGUGUUGGGUCUGAUCACCCCAAUAUUCAUGGCACCCAACAUGGGGCGACAAAGACCACAGUGAAGGAACGCUAGAGCAUGUGAAAGCGGAGGAUGCAUCGUCAGAGGACACCCAGGGACGACUGAAAGAAGCUCGGAGUCAACAAUGAGCCCUAUACUUGGAGUAAAACAACCCCUUCCCCAGCAGGAGUCAAGAAUGAGCCUCAGGCCUCUUCAUCUCAAGCUGAAAAGGACAGAGGGAGCCAUAGACAAUACAACUAACAACCUCCAAAAACGCACAGCCUCACCACCACUAUCUUGAGUCAGCCAGGACUAAUCACACCCUGCCCUUCAUUAUGUCUGUCCCCAUAAGCCCCAAACUCAAAGGUUAUCCUUCAUAACCCAUACACUGAUCCCCAUAAUGCUCUGCAUGCUCCCUAACCUGCACCAAUCUCCCAUAUUCCUAACCCUUACACUGUGAUUUCUGGAAUAUGGAGCCCAAUAUCAGCGAAACUUAAGUUAUAUUAAGUUUUAUUAAAAUGUAAGUUUUAGAACUUAAAACUUUAAGUGUAUUAAAACUCAGGUUUUAUUUACCUAAUAAAACUUAACUUUAAAUUGGCUCCAUCUGAAAUUAAUAUAGCUACUCCUGCUUUCUUUCAAUUAGCAUCACCAUGGUAUAUCUUUCUCCACUCAUUUACUUUAUAUGUAUAUGUAUUUUUAUAUUUAAAGUGGGUUUCUUGUAGACACCAUAUAGUUGGGUCUUACUUUUUCAUCCACUAUGACAAUCUUUAUCUUUAAUUGGUGCAUUUACACUACUGAUGUUGAAAGUAAUAACUGACACAGUUGGAUUAAUAUCUACCAUAUUUGUAACGGUUUUCUAUUUGUUGCCCUUGUUCUUUUUUCCUAUUUUUGUCUUCCACCAACUGAGCAUUUUAAAUAAUUUCAUUUUGUCUCUUUUCUUAGCUAUUAGUUGUAUUUUUGUUUUACUUUAGUGCUGGUCCUAGAGUUUGCAAUAUUCAUUUACAGCUAAUCCAAGUCCACUUUCAAAUAACACUUUACUACUUCACAGGUGGUGCAAGUACCACUUAAUAGCAAGAUAAUCCUAAUUCCUAUCUCCUGUUUCUUACAUUGUGAUUCAUUUCACUUAUACAUGAGCACAUAAGUAAUUGUAAUACAUGAGCAUAUGUAAUUGAAUACAAUGUUAUUAUUUUAAACUGUUACCUAUUAGAUCAAUUAAGAAAAAUAAAACUUAUUUUACCUUCACUCAUUCCCUCUUCAAUGCUCUCACUUGCUUUAUAUACACCAGAGUUUUUGACCUCUAUCAUUUCCUUCUCUCUAAAAGAACUUUUAACAUUUCUUGCAAGGUAAGUCUAUGACAUAUUCUGCCAAUUUUUGUCUGAGAAAGUCUUUAUUUCUCUUCCAUUUUUAAAGGAUAAUUUCACAGGGUAUAAAAUCCUACAUUGGUGAGUGUUUUCUCUCAGCACUUUAAACAUUUUACUACACUCUCUUCUGCUUGCAUGGUUUCUGAAAAGA